GUAGGUGGCAAGCGUUGUCCGGAAUUAUUGGGCGUAAAGCGCGCGCAGGUUGGUUCUUUAAGUCUGAUGUGAAAGCCCCCGGGCUCAACCGGGGAGGGUCAUUGGAAACUGGGGAACUUGAGUGCAGGAGAGGAAAGUGGAAUUCCACGUGUAGCGGUGAAAUGCGUAGAUAUGUGGAGGAACACCAGUGGCGAAGGCGACUUUCUGGCCUGUAACUGACACUGAGGCGCGAAAGCGUGGGGAGCAAACAGGAUUAGAUACCCUGGUAGUCCACGCCGUAAACGAUGAGUGCUAAGUGUUGGGGGGUUUCCGCCCCUCAGUGCUGCAGCUAACGCAUUAAGCACUCCGCCGUGGGGAGUACGGUCGCAAAGACUG
rnacentral:rRNA from 1 species